GAUGAACGCUGGCGGCGUGCCUAAUACAUGCAAGUCGAGCGAACGGACGAGAAGCUUGCUUCUCUGAUGUUAGCGGCGGACGGGUGAGUAACACGUGGAUAACCUACCUAUAAGACUGGGAUAACUUCGGGAAACCGGAGCUAAUACCGGAUGAUAUUUUGAACCGCAUGGUUCAAAAGUGAAAGACGGUCUUGCUGUCACUUAUAGAUGGAUCCGCGCUGCAUUAGCUAGUUGGUAAGGUAACGGCUUACCAAGGCAACGAUGCAUAGCCGACCUGAGAGGGUGAUCGGCCACACUGGAACUGAGACACGGUCCAGACUCCUACGGGAGGCAGCAGUAGGGAAUCUUCCGCAAUGGGCGAAAGCCUGACGGAGCAACGCCGCGUGAGUGACGAAGGUCUUCGGAUCGUAAAACUCUGUUAUUAGGGAAGAACAUAUGUGUAAGUAACUGUGCACAUCUUGACGGUACCUAAUCAGAAAGCCACGGCUAACUACGUG
rnacentral:rRNA from 1 species